UUUAUUCNAAGCAACGCGAAGAACCUUACCNAAUCUUGACAUCCUUUGACAACUCUAGAGAUAGAGCNUUCCCCUUCGGGGGACAAAGUGACAGGUGGUGCAUGGUUGUCGUCAGCUCGUGUCGUGAGAUGUUGGGUUAAGUCCCGCAACGAGCGCAACCCUUAAGCUUAGUUGCCAUCAUUAAGUUGGGCACUCUAAGUUGACUGCCGGUGACAAACCGGAGGAAGGUGGGGAUGACGUCAAAUCAUCAUGCCCCUUAUGAUUUGGGCUACACACGUGCUACAAUGGACAAUACAAAGGGCAGCGAAACCGCGAGGUCAAGCAAAUCCCAUAAAGUUGUUCUCAGUUCGGAUUGUAGUCUGCAACUCGACUACAUGAAGCUGGAAUCGCUAGUAAUCGUAGAUCAGCAUGCUACGGUGAAUACGUUCCCGGGUCUUGUACACACCGCCCGUCACACCACGAGAGUUUGUAACACCCGAAGCCGGUGGAGUAACCUUUUAGGAGCUAGCCGUCGAAGGUGGGACAAAUGAUUGGGGUGAAGUCGUAACAAGGUAGCCGUAUCGGAAGGUGCGGCUG
rnacentral:rRNA from 1 species